rnacentral:rRNA from 1 species
UACGGAGGGUGCUAGCGUUGUUCGGAAUUACUGGGCGUAAAGGGCGCGUAGGCGGCCGUUUGCGUCGGAUGUGAAAGCCCGGGGCUCAACCUCGGAGCGGCAUUCGAUACGGGACGGCUGGAGACCGGGAGGGGAGAGUGGAAUAGCCAGUGUAGAGGUGAAAUUCGUAGAUAUUGGCUGGAACACCGGUGGCGAAAGCGGCUCUCUGGCCCGGUUCUGACGCUGAGGCGCGAAAGCGUGGGGAGCAAACAGG